AGCAAUUCUGUAUUAAAUGUUACAUGUAUAUGGCAGGCGGGUAGGAUCAGUAACAAUUGUUCUGUAUGGCUGGAGUCAGAAUCCAAUGACCCAUCCUUCUUCAUGCUUGCUCUAUGCUCUUUUAGAGCGCUAGCUGCAGCCUAGUCUUUGGUCCACAGCAGGAAUUUGGUACAAACACCAACCUCUGAAAGAGACAUCCCUGAAUGCUUCUUCCAGAUACUCCACGCCUUCUUGUCCUAUUUCAUGUGGCGCUUAGACAUACCAGCUUUUCCCCUUUGUCUGACUUGUCAUCCAGCUCUCGUACAACUUAGUUGAAAUUAGACAUCGAUGGAACCCAGCGUCUUUGUUGGGGCAUUCGUCACAGGAUUUCUGAACUUACAGUGAUCUACCGUCAUCCUCUUCCUGAAGCAGAGGGAAGUAAGAACAGAACAAUUCUGACUGACAACACAGAGGAGUCCAGAGAUGGGUGAUGAUCAUUUUAGGGAUGUUGGAAACAGCGAGAGAGCACACGCUGCCACAGAAUCACUUCUCAGCCCCUUUGGUUGAGCCUGGGGAUCCCCACUUCUCUGAUACAGGAACUCAUGCUAUGCCUUUCCAGGUGUUAUAAGAAUGAAACCCACGGUUCAUUGGUAUCAACAUUCUUACUUCCCCCAGACAAACACACAUGCACGCACACACACAAACACACACUAACUCUAGAUUAAACUCUUUAGCAGGUCAGCCCUCUUAGUCACAUCAAGGGAGAAUUUUUCCUUUUGCUCUGGAGCAUAUUGUCUUCUGAGGAGAGGGCUGAGGCCCUUCUCCCUUUCUAUCAAAAUGUCAAAGUUGGCUUUUCCAUCAUUACAUUUUAUACAGCAGUGCUGGCCCCACCGCAAAGUGUUCUCAACGUCACUGCUUUGCUUAUUAACCGCACACCUCCAGGUGUAAAUAACGCCACGGCGCCCAGCUUGAACAGAGCAGAGGCAGCACCCCAGCUUGAACAGAGCAGAGGCAGCACCCCAGUUUGAACAGAGCAGAGGCAGCACCCCAGCUUGAACAGAGCAGAGGCAGCACCCCAGGCCUCAGUUUGUCUUUUGCCUCUGAUUCUUACCAAAUGUUUUUGUUUCCUAUGUUUGACAAAACGUCAAAACUUUAUUUCUCUUAUUUUUGUUUAAAAAAAAAAAUGCCAUAGGCAGGAGAGGACACCCAGAAAGGUCUGUCAGCCCCCACACCUUGAGGUGGAGUGAGCAAAGGAAGCCAGACCCCUGCCUGACAUGUGGCCCACUGCAGUAGAAGCCAUGGCUCUGUGCAGUUUGAGCAUUGGAGAAUGGGUACGAAGGGACAGAGAGUUGAGUGGGAUUGUGGUGCAUGAUGUGAAACUCACAAAGAAUCAAUAAAAAGUUUUUAAAAAAUCA